CCUACGGGAGGCAGCAGUGAGGAAUAUUGGACAAUGGGCGCAAGCCUGAUCCAGCCAUGCCGCGUGCAGGAAGAAGGUCCUAUGGAUUGUAAACUGCUUUUAUACAGGAAGAAACACUCCCUCGUGAGGGAACUUGACGGUACUGUAUGAAUAAGGACCGGCUAACUCCGUGCCAGCAGCCGCGGUAAUACGGAGGGUCCAAGCGUUAUCCGGAAUCAUUGGGUUUAAAGGGUCCGUAGGCGGCCAAAUAAGUCAGUGGUGAAAGCCCAUCGCUCAACGAUGGAACGGCCAUUGAUACUGUUUGGCUUGAAUUAUUAGGAAGUAACUAGAAUAUGUAGUGUAGCGGUGAAAUGCUUAGAGAUUACAUGGAAUACCAAUUGCGAAGGCAGGUUACUACUAAUAUAUUGACGCUGAUGGACGAAAGUUUCGNGGGAGCGAACAGGAUUAGAUACCCUGGUAGUCCGUACGACCGUAACCGACGUAGUAGUACUAGUACUGUUCGGUACGACGAUACUGUAGUGGUCGUA
rnacentral:rRNA from 1 species